AUUGAACGCUGGCGGCAUGCUUUACACAUGCAAGUCGAACGGCAGCGCGGGCUUCGGCCUGGCGGCGAGUGGCGAACGGGUGAGUAAUGCAUCGGAACGUGCCCAGUAGUGGGGGAUAGCCCGGCGAAAGCCGGAUUAAUACCGCAUACGACCUGAGGGUGAAAGCGGGGGACCGAAAGGCCUCGCGCUAUUGGAGCGGCCGAUGUCGGAUUAGCUAGUUGGUGGGGUAAAGGCUUACCAAGGCGACGAUCCGUAGCUGGUCUGAGAGGACGACCAGCCACACUGGGACUGAGACACGGCCCAGACUCCUACGGGAGGCAGCAGUGGGGAAUUUUGGACAAAGGGGGCAACCCUGAUCCAGCCAUGCCGCGUGCGGGAAGAAGGCCUUCGGGUUGUAAACCGCUUUUGUUCGGGAAGAAAUCCUCUGGGCUAAUACCCCGGGGGGAUGACGGUACCGGAAGAAUAAGCACCGGCUAACUACGCG
rnacentral:rRNA from 1 species